rnacentral:tRNA from 1 species
ACCAUAGUAGUAGAAAAAAUAUACAAGGUUUAGGGUCUUGGGGUGCAGUUUAACUGCCUUUGGUG